GCAAGUCGAACGGGAAACAGCGGGUAGCAAUAUCUUCUGUUUCUAGUGGCGAAAGGGUGCGUAACACGUGGGUAAUUUGCCAUGAAGUUGGGAACAACUUGCCGAAAGGUGAGCUAAUACCGAAUGUGAUUAUUGGUUGGCAUCAAUUGAUAAUCAAAGCUGGGGAUCGUAAGACCUGGCGCUUCUUGAUAAGCCCGCGUCCUAUCAGCUAGUUGGUGAGGUAAAAGCUCACCAAGGCUUUGACGGGUAGCUGGUCUGAGAGGAUGAUC
rnacentral:rRNA from 1 species